rnacentral:lncRNA from 1 species
UUUUAAGUCACAUUAAGUUUUUAACACUUUGGUUUUAAUCUUAACUGGAACAAAGUUUUGUUGCCAUCAGUUUGUUUGUAUCGUCAUUGAAGGUUAACUGUAAAACAAUGCUUGUCAUUAGAAAAGAAUUUUGAAAAGCAUCAAAUUUAAACCAAAUUUAUAUAUUCAUCUUUAGCUUUUGACUUUUUCACAUAGUAUCAAUUUGGCAAAGACAGUGUAAACUUUAAAUAGAUGCAGUGCACAUUUUUAAACAAGGUUCAAAAUUUUACAAACUCUUGAUAUCUACAGGACAACUCUCACGAAACAACAUAGACAAGCAUUAAGUUAUUAUUAGCAUACAUGAAAUUUGACAUCCAAUGCUUUUAAAUGUUUCUACCAGUAUUUCAUAAUCUAAUUCUUAUUCUCUUAUUUAAGCAAAAUAAUUGUAAUCAUUUAUUAAUA